CCUACGGGAGGCAGCAGUGAGGAAUAUUGGUCAAUGGCCGAGAGGCUGAACCAGCCAAGUCGCGUGAGGGAAGAAUGUCCUAUGGAUUGUAAACCUCUUUUGUCAGGGAGCAAAGUCACCCACGUGUGGGUGUUGGAGAGUACCUGAAGAAAAAGCAUCGGCCAACUCCGUGCCAGCAGCCGCGGUAAUACGGGGGAUGCGAGCGUUAUCCGGAUUCAUUGGGUUUAAAGGGUGCGUAGGCGGGUUAUCAAGUCAGCGGUAAAAUCGUGGAGCUCAACUCCAUCCAGCCGUUGAAACUGAUGAUCUUGAGUGGGCGAGAGGUAAGCGGAAUGCGUGGUGUAGCAGUGAAAUGCAUAGAUAUCACGCAGAACUCCGGUUGCGAAGGCAGGAUACCGGCGCCCGACUGACGCUGAGGCACGAAGGCGAGGGUAGCGAACAGGAUUAGAUACCCUGGUAGUC
rnacentral:rRNA from 1 species